GAUAACCUCCUGGAAACUGGGGAUAAUACCUUAUAGAUUACAGAUGCUGGAAUGCCCUGUAAUCGAAAGCUCCGGCGCCUUAGGAUGGAUCUGCGGCUGAUUAGGUUGUUGUUGGGGUAAUGGCCCAACAAGCCAGUGAUCGGUACGGGUUGUGGGAGCAAGAGCCCGGAGUUGGAUUCUGAGACACGAAUCCAGGCCCUACGGGGCGCAGCAGGCGCGAAAACUUUACAAUGCGGGCAACCGUGAUAAGGGAACCUCGAGUGCCUGUAUAUGCAGGCUGUCCAGGUGUCUAAAUCACACCUGAAGAAAGGGCCGGGCAAGACCGGUGCCAGCCGCCGCGGUUAUACCGGCGGCUCGAGUGGUGGUCGCUUUUAUUGGGCUUAAAGCGUUCGUAGCUGCGCUUGUUAGUCUCUUCGCCACUCUGACCGCUUUACCGUCAGGCGUCUAAAGGAUACUGGCAAUCUUGGAACCUGGAAAGGUUACGGGUACCUCCCGGGGAGGAGUGAAAUCCUGGAAUCCUCCAAGGACACCUUUGUGGGGAGGGGCCUCACCCGAAACGCUUCCACAGUGUGCGCACCAAAUUUUGGGCAGACAACCGGAAUACAUAUACCGGGAGAGCCCCCCCCCAAACAAUGCGCCCCUUGGGUAUAACAGUGUACUCCCUCCCUCCCGAGGAGGCAAAGGAAAAACUGCAAAGCUUCCCAUGUUGAAUAUACUCUCACAAGCCUAAAUUUUAAAGGUAGUUGGUUGUAGCAGCACAAAAGAGGAGCCUGCCUGCUUAUUUUUUUGACCCAAAAGAAGAUAUACCUCCCAUGAAACACACUUGUUAUUGCCGCGCGGGGCAGAACAGCUUUGCGAGAUUAUUUGUUGAUGGAGGUGUGAU
rnacentral:rRNA from 1 species